UUUCUCUUUAGAAAUCCCUCACCCUCACCCUCACCCUCACCCUCGUGCUCUCUUCUCAAUUUUUAAUCAGCUCCAGAAACUCUACCAGGUUCUCUUUUUUUUCGAGAAAUGUGGACCAUAUCUACCAUUCCACUAAAAUAACCCUAAUUAUUUAAAAUUAUUUAAAAUUGUUGAGUCGAUAUCCGUCUAAAAAAAACUUUUACCUAUCAAUUUUAAGUAGAACGGUAGAGCACACUUUUCCGUUAUGUUGAUUUUAUAAUUUCUCCUCUUCCUCGCCCAAGCUCUCUCUCUCUUUCGCACGACAGUACAGUGUGGUGUAGUGGAUGAUAGAGAUGGAUUAUAAGAGUACCAUUUAGAGCAGAAAAGGUAAUUAAAGAAGUUGAUGAGGCUGAGUGCAGCUAACAACCAAUAAAAAGGAUCAAGCCUAUCCUUGUUGAGGUCAUUGUCACUAAGCCAUCCACCAGAAGAACUUGAGGUAAUUUUGUGCACUAGGGAAAUUAGCAAAAUGUAAGGGAUGGAUUGAAGAGAAGCUGGAGGGAUGUGGAAGCUUGUUGCGAUCCGGGUGUUCAUUGCCCUCCCUUGGGCAACUGUGCAAAGUCUCCAUGAACUUUCACUUGCAUUUUGAAUUUUAAUGCAGGCCUUGUCAAGGAAUUUGCAACAUCAUGACUAUCUUUGAGAAUAUAUAUUUACACAUUAAUAAGAACAAGACUUAAAUGAUGUCUUUUUGUUAGUUCUCUUUGUUUACCAGUUGGUCUCUACUUGUACCUUUUUUAUCCUUUUUUCAGUAAACUUGCAAAAUUACCACCUAUUGAAAAAAUCAAUGAAUCUGCAAAAUUGCUUGUAUUCUUUUUUACAAGUUACUGGGCUGCUUACCUUUAUUUGUGUUAA